GCCCAGGCCCCCGCCCCGGGCCAGCCGCCCCGCGUCGCCCCGCAGGAAGUUCAUGAGCACGGUCUCCGCCAUGUCGUCGGCGUUGUGGCCUGGGGGAGAGAGACGGGGAGCCGUCUCGGUUGAAGGUGUUCCUCACACGGCACCGAAGUCAAAGCGGCCUCUAACGGUCAGUGGAGGUUGUCAAGUAGGCUGCUGUCCCAGUGCCGGGGAAUGCGGGUCACCGCGUGCAGGAAGGCCAGCGAGAGCUUCAGUAUUUCCUCAACAGUCACCGUAAACGUCACCUAAACGUCACCUAAACGUCUACCUAUUCUGCA